rnacentral:rRNA from 1 species
UGUCCCCUAAAUAGGGACUAGUAUGAACGGCUAAAUGAGGAUUACACUGUCUCCUACGACCAAUCAGUGAAACUGAUCUCCCAGUUCAAAAGCUGGGAUAAACACAUAAGACGAGAAGACCCUGUGGAGCUUAAAAUUAAAGCCACCCACAUCAACCACACCAUAAAACAUGGCCUACAAUUUUGAGUUGGGGCGACUUCGGAACCAAACAAAACUUCCGAGCACAAGAACAUUCCUCACAUCAAGGCUAACAUGCCAAAACACAAACUGACCCAGUCCCACUGAUCAACGAACCAAGUUACCCCAGGGAUAACAGCGCCAUCUUCUUCAAGAGUCCCUAUCACCAAGAAGGUUUACGACCUCGAUGUUGGAUCAGGACACCCAAAUGGUGCAGCAGCUAUUAAAGGUUCGUUUGUUCAACGAUUAACAGU